rnacentral:SRP_RNA from 1 species
GCCGGGCGUGGUGGCUCGUGCCUGUGAUCCUAGCACUUUGGGAGGCUGAGGUGGGUGGAUCACCUGAGGUCAGGAGUUCGGGACCAGCCUGGCCAACAUGGUGAAACCCCAUCUCUA